UGCCCAGACUCCUACGGGAGGCAGCAGUGGGGAAUAUUGCACAAUGGGGGAAACCCUGAUGCAGCGACGCCGCGUGAGCGAUGAGGUAUUUCGGUAUGUAAAGCUCUAUCAGCAGGGAAGAAAAUGACGGUACCUGACUAAGAAGCCCCGGCUAACUACGUGCCAGCAGCCGCGGUAAUACGUAGGGGGCAAGCGUUAUCCGGAUUUACUGGGUGUAAAGGGAGCGUAGACGGCGGUGCAAGCCAGAUGUGAAAGCCCGGGGCUCAACCCCGGGACUGCAUUUGGAACUGUGCUGCUAGAGUGUCGGAGAGGCAGGCGGAAUUCCUAGUGUAGCGGUGAAAUGCGUAGAUAUUAGGAGGAACACCAGUGGCGAAGGCGGCCUGCUGGACGAUGACUGACGUUGAGGCUCGAAAGCGUGGGGAGCAAACAGGAUUAGAUACCCUGUA
rnacentral:rRNA from 1 species